GCAACAGAGACCACGAUUCACAGAUUUUUACACAAAUCUCAAGACCAACAUGCCUUAGGACCGACAAAGAAGAGUAGUCUGCAGCCUCCAGCGUUGCCCACCUGCCCAGCCUGCAGCAUCAAUAGCAGGCAUAAAGGUUAUACAACACUGGAAGCUUCAAUAAUGACAAUUCCAUGGGAAAUGUUGGUGCCAAGUGCAAACUUUGCUUUGGUGUAAGUGGGGGGAAGCUUUCGAAGUGAAAUAUAUGAAUUUCUCCAUUGAACAUCACGUCCUUUGUCUCCAGCAGCUAAGGUCAAAAAUGCCUCAAAUCUUAUGGCUGCAAGAGGUAUAAAAAAGGGCUGUCUGACUCCACCAAGAACUGUCUAGACCUUAAUCCACAGGAAGCUCUUCCACCUGGCUCAAGGAUAUGUCCCAGCGAUUGUCCCAGAAGGAGAAAAAUGCCCAUUGAACCAAAUACUUCUCUCUUUCUUACAAAAUACGAGCAUCAGAGUGUUUAUCAUAGGACACUGCAUCCAGUGACAGAGAACUCCUUGCAGAAUGAGAAGAUAAGGAGACAGAUUUCCAGGUGACCAGGAUGGUGGCCUUCGAAAGUGCAAGAACAAAGUGGGCAGACAACAGGCAGCUUCCUCCUUCUGAGGCACGAGUGCAUGAAUUGCCUUCCCCCAGCACGAAGCUGAAUUAAAAUAUUCCUAGCAGAUAGUUCGGAUUGAUAAUCACCUCUACUGUGUUACUCUGGACAUGUCCACACAGCUGACUGGGAAAUAGAAGAAAGAUGUGGAAAUGUGCUGGCAUUCCAGCUGAAGACAUCCUUAUGAGUGAGAAAAUGCUCAAGGCUUUUUCAAAGUGGGUGCUGAAACACACGUUUCUCUUCUUUGACUCCAGGGGAUGCUAACAGCUGCUCCAGCAGACAGGUAUUUCAGGGUCAAAGGCCAGCAGAGCUGUGCAUAUUCAGGAUUUUUACUGCCAGUGAAGGAGAUGGGUACUUUCUCAAAACUAAUAAUAAAAAUAGCAACAACAGUGAGAAGAAGAAGGAGCUGACAACAGAAAUGAAAAGGAACCUGCAAGAAGUGAAUUCUGGGUAGCACAACACUUGCAGAGCUGAUUUUAAUGUCUGACAGGUUGAGUUCACUAAUCUUUGCUAUUCAUAUUGACGUGAAACUUCAUACUGUUUUAGAGAUUUGUAUCUAUUAAGACAUGCAGCAGUGUUCCUACAACAUGGGAACAAGUUUGCUAGCACCUGCCGUUCUUCUUCCUCCGUGAUAAAAAUUGAUAUGAACUGUACUAAAUGCCUAACAGAUAAUUACUCUCAACACUCAAUAACAAAAGCUACAUCUUUAGAGCCUCCUUUAUCUUUAAAAAAUAACAAAAAAGCCCAAGCCCAAAACUCACUAACAAGACAAAACCUUUUUCCUCCCAUUUUCCUCCCUCUCUUUCGUUUCUUUGAUUACUUGGAGAUUUGUAAGCAAACUAAGUUUAGUUUCGGGACCCUUGGGGCAGUAUCUCUUAGUUCCCUGUCAGGCUGAGUUGCAAAAUAAUCAAACCUGCUCUUGUGUUGGCUUGGUGGAAGUGUCAGGACAUGAGGAGUGCAAUGCUUUGCUCUUGCUGUGAAGCUUCGAUGACAAAAGUUUUAUCAGAAGCUGACUGUAUUUAGGAUUAUGAAUAUGCAAUGACUCUCAUUAGUAUUGAAGCACAGGAGCAUGGGCUGACAUCCCCCGCCACUUUUAGCUGCUGCAGAGUUGCCUAAUGAAUUGUCUUGCUCUUUCACUUGCACAGACUUUGCUGUUAUGGUUCCCCACUCCAAGGGGAGUUGCCCGGUUUGAGAAUACUAUUGACUGCAGAAAUUAAUUGCCAAGAACUGCUCUUGAUUUUGUUAAACAGUGUUUAAAUGGUGUUUAAAUUGCUGAAACAGAAAACCAUUUAACUCUACAGGAGACAAAGUCAUCACAGGUGAGAGGACCUGCGUGUCCAUAUGCAUAGCCAUGCACAAGCAUACAGGUGUGGUGCAGGUAUGCAUACGGUCUUGUAAUCAUACCUAUACAAAUAAACAUAUCUAUGUGUAGCAGUGACGGACAUCAGAAACCUGACAUCCUGCUGAUUUAUCUAUUAUUCUUCCAACUAGAACAAAUGGGAUAAUGGAAAGUUCUCCAAAUGAGUGGGACUCCAAUACAUUUCUAUUUAAUCAACCAGUUAAUACUCUUUUUUUUUCUUCUGGGACCCUGCCAAACACUUUUCAGCUCACACAUCUGCAAUCUUUAUGAAUAAGUUUCUGACAAGGAUGUUUCCAACAAAUGAUUAAGAUAUCUGGCUUGAUUUGUCAUAUUUGAGAUGCAUAAGCUUUCAAAAACAAGUAGAAAUGACCCUUUUUUUCCCCAAAUGGUUCAAUUAAGUACUUUUUUCCUGAUUCAUCUGAAAUUUCUUCUGGCAUAAAAGGAGCUUUUGUGGCUCUCUGCAGAGAGUGAAGGAUAGAGGGAAUUGAAAUGGAUAAUGUAUUCCAAGAAGCGUAAGUAGUAUUCUGAAAGGUGUGCAAAUAAUAAAGGAUAUGAGAUUCUUCCAAGAAGAUGUCAGGCCUGCAAGACUCUUUAUCCAUUUAAUCAGUAAUGGAAAUGAUCCCAGUGCGAGAAGGAAGAUCUGUUUAAUUUUUAUUGUGAUUUUGGCACUGUUGCUCUAACACGAGCUUGGCUUACCUCUUGACCCAACCCCAGGAGUGUCUGUUCUCAUCAGCUGCAGAAAAAAUAAAGAACAUCUACAUGUUGGGAGUAUCAAAUACAAGAGCAGUUUAAAAUAAAUGCAGUUCUGACAAAAGUGGCUCAAGUAUCAUACAUCAAACACUUGUUACCUCUCUUGGCCUUAGUGAUUGCAUGUGACUAAGAAAGAGUGAGUGAUAAAAUCUGAAGAAAGAUGAAACCAAUCCGGGGCUUUUUAAAGCUCAUCAAUCAUUCUGUGCAGCCAUGGCAUUAUUAGUUCCAGUAAGCCUUGUUCUCCCAUUUUAUGGACAUCAUAAACCCCCCACCUCUAGACCAAUGCUACCUUGGGAAAUCAUUUUCAUAGGCAGCAUCUUAGUGUGGGCCAAUCAGAUCUAAUCACAUAACAAGCUACUGAAUUAUUCAACGUUCUUCCUAAUUUUGCAUUCUUCCUGCACUUUGCUGUCACUGCAGGGUUUUAAAAGUAUGUGUUUUUACAAUAUUUAUUAAGAAUAUAACCAUACACAGGAAUUUUGUUUUCUCUAUGUCUUUCAAUAAUCGUUUGUUCCCUUAGAUUGUUGCAGUAUAUACAUUACUAUAUAGAGAAUACUUAAAAAAACAAAAAGAAAAAGAAACCCACAAUGUGGCACUUGGCUUUAAACUCUUUCAGCUUUUAAAAGAUCUAAUGUAAAGACAACAAUUGUGAAACAAUUGAGUUCAAACAUAAAACAUUCAGAUUUACUGAGCAAACUGUAACCAGCAUGUCUCUUAGCUGCUGCUAUGAAUACAGGGCUCACAUUGUAUAUGAAAAUAUUUCAGUUUUAAUUGCAAAUCUGUGCAGAGAUGAUUUGGGGUCUGUAAUUAGCACACAAAUUCCAGACUUUGUGACUGCUGUGAAAACACACAUUAUUUAUGGAACUAUUAUCUAAAUAUAAUUCAGUGUUUUUUGCUUUCAACAACUACUAUAAAAGUCUGAUUUAAUAAAAUGUGAAAAAUUUCCUGUC